rnacentral:rRNA from 1 species
AUUGAACGCUGGCGGCAGGCCUAACACAUGCAAGUCGAACGAGUGGCGGACGGGUGAGUAAUGUCUGGGAAACUGCCUGAUGGAGGGGGAUAACUACUGGAAACGGUAGCUAAUACCGCAUACCAUCGGAUGUGCCCAGAUGGGAUUAGCUAGUAGGUGGGGUAAAGGCUAACCUAGGCGACGAUCCCUAGCUGGUCUGAGAGGAUGACCAGCCACACGGGAACUGAGCCACGGUCUGUAGUCCUACGGUAGGCAGCAGUGGGGAAUAUUGCACAAUGGGCGCAAGCCUGAUGCAGCCAUGCCGCGUGUAUGAAGAAGGCCUUCGGGUUGUAAAGUACUUUCCGCGGGGAGGCGUUACCCGCAGAAGAAGCACCGGCUAACUCCGUGCCAGCAGCCGCGGUAAUUC